rnacentral:lncRNA from 1 species
AGCUUGGCCCUGGGUUUCAGGAACAAACACCUGACACCUCCUUCAGUGGCAGGAAAACAAAACCAGCAGGGACUUUCCUGCCUCUGGGGCUGGGCGGGGGACAGGGGAGGGCGGGGGAGGGCCGGGAGGCUAGCUGCACCUGGGAGGCAGAAAGGAGGACCCUGGGCCACUCCCCUCCCAGCUCCCCGACCCGGGCUGCGCUGUAUCCUUGGGUGUUCCCCGGGCUGCGCUGUAUCCUUGGGUGUUCCCCGGGCUGCGCUGUAUCCUUGGGUGUUCCCCGGGCUGCGCUGUGUCCUUGGGUGUUCUUGUGACACCGUGGCGCCCGUGGCCACGCGCACUUCUCAGCCGCUUCAUGCAGUGCGACCAGUGACACAGGAUGCACAGCCCCCAAGUGCCCAGCUCAGUGCCGCACUGGGCGCCCGGGGGGCAGUGCUGGGCAGAGAAGGGGAGCGACACUGGCCCCCGGAAGCCCGGUGUCCCUCAGAGUCACUCCCGUCCCAGGAGCCCUGCAAUUGUAGGCAUUUGGGGAGUGAGUCAGCAGGUGGGCGCUCCCUCUCUCUCACUGUGUGUGUGUGUGUGUGUGUGUGUGUGUGUGGGUCUGUGUGUUUCUCUGCCUCACAAAGCUUACAAAAGGCAGCUGCACGUGACUCCACCUGGUACCCGUCCACGGUUUUAUUUCUGGUAAACUCACAGCGUUGUGCCGGCCCCCCGUUCUGGUUGGUCUUUUUUUUUUUUCAACUUUGCAUUUGUUUUUAAAAUUCCUCCAUGUUGCUGCCCGUGCACCCGGACCAAAUGCCUGCCCCAGCAGAGCGACCCCACCGCCCGCCCCUCCCCGUCUGACGUGUGGGUGCUCCCACACUCCCCAGCACAGCCAGCACCCCGUGGAGCCCCCGUGGAGCCUCCUGGUGGCCCCGUGAGAAUUCUCCGGGCACGUGUAGCCAGGAUGGCAAUUGUGGGGCCAGGUGUGCGCUCUUGGGAGGCCACACCUGCGGAAACACACCUGUAGCUUCCCCAAAAGCAGAGGGGAGGGAGCAGGUGAGAACCUGGAGUCUGG